ensembl:lncRNA
AUGUGUUGGAAGUCAGACCAGUCCAACCUGUUCAUGGUAGAAUGUCAAAGGCUUGGCAUCAGAAUAGUCCACAGAAUUAGGGCUAAUCUCUCACCUUCCACCUUCAGUAGCACCUCCUGCACCCUGCGCAGGGACAUGACCUCCCCCAGGAGCGUCCUCUGGACAGUCACCAUCUCCUCCACACCAGCAAGCUUCCUUGCCCGGGGUGGCACUGGCUCUUACAUUGGGGUGUCAUGAUGAAUAAGGAUCUGAAACAUGCGCAUCUCCUCCGUGUCUUCGGUUGAGAAACCUGUUGAGAAAAUACAAUGAAUCUGUUGUGGCAAUGAUAUGUGUUGUAGGCCUAUUGCAGAAUAAUAAUAAACAUAUUUAAAUGAGAAAUAAAACAAACACCUACCUCUGCUUGUUCUUCUGUCAUAUGAUCAUAACGAUCCAUGGCUCCCACAUCCAGGUUCGGGAAUAUGGAUGAGGUCCAGUGUUAUUUCUGGAAAGUUUAAUUUAAAGACCCUUGUGCCCUUCGGUCUCAACGUAGACUUUGAUCUGAAGCCAUUUUUGUGAUUAUUGUGACUUUGCCAUUGUAAUUGUUUGUAAGCUUGUGUAGUCAAAUUAAUCUAUGAUUGUAUGUUGUCCAUUUGUUUGUAUGCUGUUCUUUGUAUGACAUUUUAAUAUUUGAUUAUUAACCAAUGAUAUUAGGCCACUCUUGGCCAUGAUUACAGACACCUGUGUCUUUUGACACUAUAUAAACAAGUCAUCCCGCAGUGUUUGUGAUUAUACCCUGAUGAAGACAGCUUGGCUGUCGAAACGUUGGUAAUUAAAUGAUUGCAUCUGAGCUCCUAGAGUGUGCGGCUCUCUUUUGUUUUCAAAUGUUCUACUACGCUAGCCAGCGCCUCGUCUUAAUAGGUGUGCGUUUCUUUUUCUUCUAGAUAUUUCUGGAAAGUCAAACACAUCGUGUCAGCAUGACAACAUUUCUAGAGCAGUAGACUCGAUAUGAAGAGAGAAGGAAACAAGUGUAACAUUAGCUGCACUACUGGAUACUUUUGCAACCAUGAACGUUUACUGGCGCCACUAUAGACACAGUUAGCUACCAGAAAUGGAAUUACUGCAAGAAAACAAAUUAAACCUGCAUUAUCUAGCUAGCUGGUAAUUAACAAUAUCUUUCAAUAUUCUAGAAAUGUUAUAUAGCUUGUUAGAGUUGCGUCAAUUCGAAUCUGGUAUCAGGAUAAAUAUGACAAUGAGUCACCGAUUGUAUACUAUGUAUUUUUUAUUAGCUAAGUGGUAAAUGCAAUUUUCGUAUAUACGGGCUCUAUGUCCCACCUCGCAGGGCAAACCAGAGAACUGACAAGAUGUAUGUAAACAGUAUUCUUUAUACUGUGAUAGACAGUUCCAACCCGUCUGUUGGCCUAUCACAGUAGAGACUGAGCGUGGUUUAAACUUGCUCAGCCUAUUGCAGGCGCUCAGGCGGGUCCCCGCCCCUUAUCUAACAAAAGACCGCUUGUUCUCGCAACACCCCACUCUGAAUGUGCCCCCCUCCCAACUCAUUGAACAGUACCUGUCUUCAUGCUACUUUUCCAUCAUGAGAAAGGCCCAUGGCCUUGAAACUUUUAACAAUGUUUCAAGUCAGCUAUGUUGCAUAACACAUACAUACAUCCACACAAGCCAACAGCAGAUAAUAUUCAAUGAUAUAUAUGGUAAUGGCUAUAGUGUAAAACACAGAAACCUCAUAAGCUAGAGUUAGUAUGUCAAUUUGCAAAGAAGAACUUGGCGAACUUAGCUAACGUUAACGUCGUUAGCUAAUGUUGGCUAAUUAGCUAAUGUCAUUGGCAUAUCCCCGAACGGCAGAGAUAGACUCGGCCACUCUCGCCCAUCCUCUCUUUUUGGUCUCUGCAGUGACUCCGCAGUUAUCGAGUCUCCCCAACAGCAACCUUUUCCAGGCUUCUAUUUCCUUCACCAUCACUUCAAGUUCGUGUUUGCUGAAGUUUUUAUUGCACUUUCCGUGAUUAUCCAUUGUUUUAUUUUGUCUGAUGUGUGAAAAAUCUAUUUUUGUGUGUGUAUAUAAAGCGUUAACGAGCCAACUAAAAUGUUUUAUUCUCGAGACAAAAGGAAAAAAAUAAAUGGAAUAAAAUGGGAAUAUCAUCACUUUAUUACAGUGGGCCAAAUUCUGUCAUCCCUUUCACAUAGGCAGAUUUAUUGGUUUCAAGCUCGUCACUGAUGUCAAUGCCACAUAAGAAGAUGUUUACAAAGUCCUUAAGAAAGAUAUUUUCGAAGUUCCUAAGAAAAC